AUGCAAGCCAACAGCUGCCACGUGGAUUGAGACCUAGACCCAGCCCUCCUGCUCCCCCGGUGCCCCGGGGCGCCCCUCACUCACUCCGUAGGGCGCAGAGCAACACGCUGCGAGCCUCGGAGCCCUCCCGCCGGCUUCAGCCAGGGGAGGGGGCUCCCGCUCCGGCAGGAAGUCCGGCGGCCGCUGACUUUAUAAGGGCAGUGGCAGCGGACCGGCUGGCGGGUGUGUUUACCAGAAGGGAAAGAGCCCGAGCUCCCCCCGCUGCCGCCGCGGCGCGGGUGUGUGGAGCGGCCAGAAGGGUGAGACCGAGCAAAACAGAGAGGAGCGGGUCAAGGAAGGGCAAGAGGGAGGAAAGCAUGAAUCCGUUCUCCGGGGAAGGCGAGGAGGGGGGCCCUCAGUGCCCUCGUCUGUGAAAUGGGGCUUUGGAUUCAGACACUCCCUCAGGUCGGUUGGACACCCCCAAGAGCGUCGUUCUGAACAGAGAAGUGCGGCCAGAGGGGGCCGAGAGGAAGAGGGGAGUCGGAGGGAGCAGAGCAGUGUAAAGGGGAGGAAGGACGCGCGUGGAGACUGGACAAGGCGCUGCGGGACCCAAGGGCUCAGGUAACGGGUUUUUUUUGUAGAGCCUAGGAGUGUCGGUGGCAGCGGACCCAGGUGGCUCCCGGCGCAUGUGCAGCCCGGGACCCCGACCCCCACCCUCUGCUCACCUUGGGUGGGGGGCAGACGCCCCUCCUGCAGCCGCGGACGCCUCUGGGAGCGCAGCGCCUGGGCGGCGCGUCCACACUCUCUGUGUCCCCUGUCGGGCGGGCCCAGCCUUAACCAGCACCCGCGCUCAGCACUUUGCUGCGCGCCGGAUCCCGGCAGCCUUGGAGGUUCAGCCCGACAGCUUGGUGAUAUUCUCGUCCACUGUCACCCCUUCGGAACACGUCCGGGAGCUGGGGACCCUCCGGGCGACACCAGUCCCCGAAGCAAGACAGGCACGAAGUGGACCUACGGCGUUGAUAGUUGUAUUUAUACCCGUCCGGAGCUGCACCCCGAGACAAAUCAGGCAGCACCCUCUGUAUCCUUGAUGAAAACAACCAGAUUGGGCUGCAGCAGACAGAUCGCGACAAAAGGCAAGCUUGGGUGGGGUUUUAAACUGUCCAGUUGGGAGCAAUGUUUUUUAAGAGGCAGAAGGACACAGGUUUCUUAGGAGUUUGUCAAAUAGGGGUCUGAGUCUUGCUUUUCAAAUUGACUGGCCCGGGUUACCUCGGGCAACUUGCUUUACUUCUUUGGGCCUCGGGUUUCUCCUCUGUAAACUCGAAUAACAAUAUAGUAGUACCUGCCUACCUGUGGGGAUGUGGGGUGGAAUUGGGUGUUACGCUACUGGUAAAAUGCUCUGCAUGGCACCUGGUACCUAGUAAGCUUAGUAAAUGUUCAUUAUCGUUGCAGCUGUCAUUAUAAUUUUUUCAGAAGACCUGGUGGUGGGGAGCUUCUAGACACUUAUUAACUGAUUGAUUACUGGUACAUUUCUCCACUUCCUGGGGGCUGUUUCCUCAUCUGUGAAAGAGGGGAGGUGUCAUUACGUGGACUGGGGUGUGGAUUAAUAAGAUGACAAAGGCAAAUCGAUAGAGAGGUGAGUUUAAAAGAGCGUGUGGAAAGCAAUGUUAGUGAUACGGUAGCCACAGUGCUCUGGGCGUGUGAGCAACUGCCCGGGAAGUUCCAAGAGGACAUCAAACAAGAGGGCAUCUAUGAACAGGUGAGCCACCAAGCCAAGAGAAGAACUGAAAUUUGCUGAGUGGCUACUAUAUGCUGGGCACUUUCCAAACAAAAAUUAUCAUUAAAUCCUCAAAACAUCAUGGUCUCAUUUAAACCUCACAACUUUUCAGAGGGAAAAGACAGGCAGCUAGCAGCUGGAACACGGUGGGUGGAGGCAGGAUGCAAACUCAGAUCUGCCUGCCGUUUACGUGUGGCCCUUUCCAUUCUUCCAGGUCCAGAGUGAAGGUAUAGCAGUGGAAAAGGCACAAGGAGUUCUCUCUGACAAGAGCACAGUGUCAGGCUGUGAUGGUUUCACUUCUUAAAUUUCACACUAUCUCCCAGAAUUUCCAGAUCAAGGUCAAAAUCCUUAGCUUAGCACAAGGGGUCCUAGAGUAAGGGAUCUAACCCAAGAUGGUCACGGAUCCCUUUGAAAAUAUAAUAAAGUGCUAUGCUUCCACUCCCUGUGAAAACGCAUGUGUGAACACUCACACACACACACACACACAUUGAAAUUUCAGAGUUAGUGUGGACACCCUCCACAGGCGCCAGGGGUCCAGGGACCUCCACGGCUGUAAUGCUUGGCCUUCCUCAUCCCCAACCCUUAUUUCCAUGUUUUCCCUUCCUGAACUAUCAGCUCCCUGAGGGCAAGGGCCUGGUCUAUUGUGUUCACUGCUGUAUCUCCAGCACCUAGAACAGCCCUUGGUACCGAAGAGGUAUUCAGGAAUCACCUGUGGAAGGAAGUGUGGAGCCAGCUGCUUUUGCACCUCUUCCUUCUUAUGGGGUGACAG
rnacentral:lncRNA from 1 species